CCUACGGGCGGCAGCAGUGGGGAAUAUUGCACAAUGGGCGCAAGCCUGAUGCAGCCAUGCCGCGUGUGUGAAGAAGGCCUUCGGGUUGUAAAGCACUUUCAGCGGGGAGGAAGGCGGUGAGGUUAAUAACCUCAUCGAUUGACGUUACCCGCAGAAGAAGCACCGGCUAACUCCGUGCCAGCAGCCGCGGUAAUACGGAGGGUGCAAGCGUUAAUCGGAAUUACUGGGCGUAAAGCGCACGCAGGCGGUCUGUCAAGUCGGAUGUGAAAUCCCCGGGCUCAACCUGGGGACUGCAUUCGAAACUGGCAGGCUAGAGUCUUGUAGAGGGGGGUAGAAUUCCAGGUGUAGCGGUGAAAUGCGUAGAGAUCUGGAGGAAUACCGGUGGCGAAGGCGGCCCCCUGGACAAAGACUGACGCUCAGGUGCGAAAGCGUGGGGAGCAAACAGGAUUAGAUACCCCGGUAGUC
rnacentral:rRNA from 1 species